rnacentral:rRNA from 1 species
AGUGGAUGCCUUGGGACUCUAAGAAUAGAGACGUUUCAACACGAAAAGCCGUGCAGCGUGUCGCCACGGAUUUCUCUAGGAAAACCCAAAAGACAUCUCCUUUGCCAGCGGAAACCUCCUAUAGCAAAGAUGAGAAUCAACCGAGAUCCCGAAAGUAGUGGUGAAUGAAAUCGGAAGGUUAAGCAUUCGUAUGACAAAGUCGAGGACUUUGUAACAUUAUUAGUGUUUUAAAAAGUUGGAAAGCUUUGCCAAAGAAGGUGAUAGCCCUGUAAAAGCAUCUAAAGAUCUAUUUGAUCGAACUACCAAAUGAAUCGUUCAUUGGUUAUCAAGGGGAACCACCCUCUACAAAUCAUACUUAGAGUCACCGAUAGUGCAGUAGUACUGUGAAGGAAAGGUGAAAAGUGUGGCCAAUGGUCACAGUGAAAUAGAUCUGAAACUCUAUGCUUUUGAUCAGCUCGAAGUGUAUUAGACAUUUGAGUGUACCUUUUGCAUCAUGGGUCAGCGAGUCUUUUGAAGCAGCUGCUUAAGUUGGUAAACGUAGGCA